rnacentral:misc_RNA from 1 species
CAGAGUUGAAAAACUCCCAACCCUUUGUGAACCUUACCUUUAAUUGUUGCUUCGGCAGGCAGCCCCAGGGCGGGGCUGUGGCCUGUACAGGUGCCUGCCGAAGGUAUUCAAGCUCUGUUUUAAUAGUAACAUCUGAGAUAAAAACAAAAUAAGUCA